rnacentral:rRNA from 1 species
CCCUUAGAUGUUCUGGGCUGCACGCGUGCUUCACUGAUAUUGCCAAUAUGUCAUUCUUAUCCGAAAUGGAUUGGGUAAUCAAGUAAUGAAAUUUCAUGCUUGGAAUCGGUAAUUGCAAUUUUAUCGUGAACGAGGAAUUCCUAGUAAGCACUAGUCAUCAGCUAAUGUUGAUUAUGUCCCUGCCCUUUGUACACACCGCCCGUCGCUACUACUGAUUGGGUGUUCAAGUGAGAUGCUUAGACCCUUGUUGCAUGGUUCAUUAUUGUGCUCCGAAAGGAAAAAGUUUCAAGCUUGAGUGUCUAGAGGAAGUAAAAGUCGUAACA